GCCCAGCAGCUAGCCCGCCCAAUAUAAAUCAACACCCACUAUUAAUACCCCCUAAUAUUCUUAAACCUAUUAAACAAAACAUUCUUCCCCCCUAGUACGGGCGACGGAAAAGGAACUAGGAGCUAUAGAGAAAGUACCGCAAGGGAAAGCUGAAAGAGAAAUGAAACAACCCAGUAAAGCCAAAAAAAGCAGAGACAAGACGGCGUA
rnacentral:rRNA from 1 species